rnacentral:lncRNA from 1 species
GCCGAGGUAACUUAGCAGUGAUGGCAUCUGGAUGAAUUUCUCUGGCACAAGAGGAUAUUUCCAUCCCUCUUUAACCCUGGUUGAAGUUGAUUAAACAACACGAUUCUCUUGAGCCCGUGGUGACUUAGCAGAAGAAUUUUGCAUUUCCAUGCUGCUCUCCUGGAGAAGCCAAGUGCCUGACUAAUUCUGUGCAUGCACUCUCAACACCUGUUAUCCUUGAUACUGUCACGGGCAAAAAAGUGUGAGAAUUCAUCUCAAGGCUGGUAAUUAUUUCAGCUAAUUAUUCAUUUGGAUGUGGGGUGAUUACCAGUGCUCCUUCAGGUGCAACGCUGGCCACUUUCCUGCUUUGUGAAAUAUCAGCUAGAAUUAGAGUUGCUCUUCUCCCC